rnacentral:rRNA from 1 species
UACGGAGGGAGCUAGCGUUGUUCGGAAUUACUGGGCGUAAAGCGCGCGUAGGCGGCUUUGUAAGUUAGAGGUGAAAGCCCGGGGCUCAACCCCGGAAUUGCCUUUAAGACUGCAUCGCUUGAAUCCGGGAGAGGUGAGUGGAAUUCCGAGUGUAGAGGUGAAAUUCGUAGAUAUUCGGAAGAACACCAGUGGCGAAGGCAGCUCUCUGGGACGGUACUGAGGCUGAGACGCGAAAGCGUGGGGAGCGAACAGG